GGCCAAAUAGCUCAGUCGGUAGAGCAGAGGACUGAAAAUCCUUGUGUCGGCGGUUCAAAUCCGUCUUUGGCCA
rnacentral:tRNA from 1 species